CAAUAGCGUAUAUUAAUGUUGUUGCAGCUAAAAAGCUCGUAGUUGGAUUUCUGAUGGGAGCCCUGGUCACUUUAACGAGUGUACUGAUGUGGCGUCCCGUCGUUUCAUGGGGAUGCUUGCUGGUAUUAAGUUAUCGGCUUGUGGAUCCAUGUCGUUUACUGUGAAAAAAUUAGAGUGUUCAAAGCAGGCCAUCGCUGUGAAUACAUUAGCAUGGAAUAAUAAGAUAGGACUGUGGUGCUAUUUUGUUGGUUUGCGUACUACGGUAAUGAUUAAUAGGGAUAGUUGGGGGUAUUCAUAUUCAAUUGUCAGAGGUGAAAUUCUUGGAUUUAUGGAAGAUGAACUACUGCGAAAGCAUUUACCAAGGAUGUUUUCAUUAA
rnacentral:rRNA from 1 species